CAGCCGCCACGGGAAUACAGAGGGUGCGAGCGUUAAUCGGAUUUACUGGGCGUAAAGCGUGCGUAGGCGGCUAAUUGAGUCGGAUGUGAAAUCCCCGAGCUUAACUUGGGAAUUGCAUUCGAUACUGGUUAGCUAGAGUGUGGGAGAGGAUGGUAGAAUUCCAGGUGUAGCGGUGAAAUGCGUAGAGAUCUGGAGGAAUACCGAUGGCGAAGGCAGCCAUCUGGCCUAACACUGACGCUGAGGUACGAAAGCAUGGGGAGCAAACAGGAUUAGAGACCCCGGUAGUCCCUGUCUCUUAUAC
rnacentral:rRNA from 1 species